rnacentral:piRNA from 1 species
UGGGCACUGUACUUCUCAUUGGAGAA